rnacentral:rRNA from 1 species
ACAUGACUACAUCAUAGAAUUAAUGCACUAGAUCCCAUUAGAACUCUGCAGUUAAGCGCGCUCAGGCUAGAGUAGUACUAGGAUGGGUGACCUCCGAGGAAGUCCUAGUGUUUUACAUGCC